AAUAUGUGGACAGGACCUUAAUCAGCAUCCUGGAAGUGGAAAGCACGGAAGGCCUGUGUCCCACAUCACAGACAGGUAAUGCGUUGCUCCUUAAGCAGGGGCCUGUUUGACGGAUAGUCCCAUCUAAUACUCACCGCACAUUUUAGCCUCAGAGCGAAACGUGCUGCGCACUCCGUCUGACUCGUCAGCCGAACAAACUCUCCUCUCUCUGCUUCUAGGUGCAGCGUGUAGCCAAAGCAGCACAGGGGGGGGGCCCCGUGGGGAGGAGGGGGCGGUGCAGCAGCGCACCCCUCCGGCUGUGGGUGUGCUGGGCGGCGACCCCCGGGAGGCUGCGCGGGAUGUGGAAGGGUCAUCCCAGCAUGCCCCGCAGCCGGUCACUGCUGAGAGGUGCCGGCACAUCGGUGAGAAGAACGUGUGCCCGGAGAAUUGCCCCGCCAUUGACCCAGAGGAGCCCGGUCUCUCUACAGAGUGUCACAAACACUCUGAUACACAGACAGAUAAAGCUUUGCAGUAUUCCCAUUUCGGGCCACAGGCUGAUAACAGUGGGCACCCAGGCAGGCCGGCGAGUGGGACAGAGUGGGUUGAUGUUGAAGCAGGCCGGGACCACGCGCUGCAGCCGGGAAGUACAGGUGGACUGGUGGUCAUCAGUGGCACAGACACGGGACAGGAUCUCCCGGAGAAUGAGAAAUUGGAAUAUAAACGUGAGUUUGGAACGGAGGAACAUGCCGGUGUACGUUCAUCAACAAACCUCCCCUCGGAAUCCUGCUCAACAGCCUCCCCUCUUACCCUCAGCCCAAAUAAAGAUACAGUCCCGCACCGCGCACAAGAAAGAGGAAUGGAUCGGCCGCGGACAACUCCGCCUACUCCGGCCAGCCAGGCCAGCCAUGUACCUCUGUCUCAAGUCAGCGAGAAACCAGGCCUUCCCCCAAAUGCUGAGCACCCUCCACCCCCGGGGCCCAUCACAGGCCAUAACGAUGGGACACAAACGGACGUCUCCACGGGACCUAAAAUCACUACGCAGGACUCGAGUGAUGGCAAGGGAGCAAUAUGUGGUGCUAGUGCAGAUGAGCGGGGACCACAGGAAACGGGAGGAUCUACAGGGAAGUGCGAGACCGGACGUGCCACGCACGGGAGUUCACACCCACCGACGCCGCUCCCAUCAACUAAAGUGUCAUGGACCCCUCAGGGGGGAGAGACACACCCCGGACUGGUCCCCUACACACCACCUGGCAGUGGAAAUUCCACCCCGAACUACUCAGCCGAGCGACAGGGAAGCGAGAGCGACCCCCAGAACAGUCCCCCACGUGCAGCAGUGGAACAGACGGAGACCAACAGGGCAGAGGUGGACCCUGAAGUUGCCGAUCUCUCGCCGGACCUUACGAUCCGGCCACAAAGCUCUCCUCGUCCGGAGAUGCCCAGCACGGCACCAACGGCGCCAGCCCCUGCCGUCUGCCACCUCCACAGGACAGAACUAGACUUAAUGCAGACAGACCAGCCUGUCCAAGUUCAGACUGCCGAUUCGGACACCCCACUGGCCUCUGAGCUCUCGAUCCCGGCGAUUGCUCACGGCGCCGUGGUGCUUGGCGGAGAGAGCGGCCUGGAGUUUUCAGAGGAGUUGCAAGUGAAUCAGUGUGUCUUCCUGAAAGAACAUGUUAGCGGGGACGCUGCUGUUGUUGAGUUGCACGCUGAUCUCUCUGCCGGAGAACCCAAGUCAUUUAUAGAAGGGACCCAUUCAGAAAUCGGAAUGGCUUCGCUGGCUGGGGCAGAAUUUGAGAUUUAUAGCUUUGUGGAGGAGGAGAUUGCGACAGAGGUUGUCGAAGACCGGCUGUCUCUCUCCCCGAGCUAUGAGGUAAACUUAUUCACCCCGGUCAUUGAACACUCCGAGAGUGAGGGACAACACAUACACGUAUUGUCUUCCCUGCAAAUGGCUAAUGACGACAGUCACGUCGUCUUGCAGCACGGCCCCCUUACGUCAGAUCACGGCCUCUUAGAAAUGGAGGUGUGCUCAAAUGACUUCACCCCAACCAUCUCCCCACACGACACGGGGAUGUCUGAUGAAGGGCAGAAUUUCCAGGCCGAAAACACAACUGCGGAAGUGUCCGCGGCGGAAGGGUCGGCUAAUAUCUGUUUGAUUCCGACUGUCCCCGUCUUGGAUACGCCACAUGUACGGACAAACGCCGCCACGGAAGCCACGACUCGGUGUCCGGAGGCCGUCCCGGACCACAGAAGGGUGGACGUCGCCGUGGCCGCCUCCUUCGGUGACGCACAAACGCUGCCAGGGCGGACUGGAACGGGAGUGACGGCCAGUACGUCUUCCCUGGUCGUCCCAAUGGCAGAAUUAACAGAGGAGCUUGUGGAGUCAACCGGUCAGCGCUGCGCAGAGGUCCUCUCAUCCCCGAACACCGUACAUCUGUUAGAGAGCGGCGUGAUGAACUGUCCUUCACUAGACCAGGCCCCGGGACUCUCCUUAGAAAAUACCACCAUAUCCGAGCCCUGUUCUUUGUCUGUUGACGGGUCCAGUGAUCCAGAGCCCUGUCCCGCUGCCAUAGAAAUGCCGAUGCAGAUCCAGCAGGACAUUGAUUGUGCCGUUACUGUGACGACAGCCAAGGACAGCCCAGGGGCUUCCCAGUGCGCACUCCCUCCCGGCAUCAUCGACCCAAGUCUUCUCCUCCUAAAGCCCGAGGACACGGCCCUCCUCAAACGCCCGCCCUCCUUCCUGUUGGGGACGACCAGACUGCCGAGCGACGGCCGGGCACAGACCGGCGUCAGCGGCUUGGACACAGCGCCUGCAAUGGAGUGCCUUCCCGAAGCCGCGCUGGGACCUGCGCCGGCGUGCGUCUCUGUCGACCGCCACGAAGAGCAGAGCAUGUCACGUGUGGACUUGGAGCCCGGCGCGACAUCGUCUUCUACGCUCACCACGAACACCGCGUUGCAGCGCCGUCUCUCUAACCCCGCGCCAUGCAGAUCCGACGACGAGGCCUUAACUCCGAUCAAAGCGUCCCCGGGGCCAGCGGGGACCGUUUUGCGAACCCUGGACCCUCCCGACGCCCCGCCUGAGCACUUCUCCGGCCACAUGUUGCCCUCAACCUCGGGCAGUGUGUCUAGGGGUAAGCUCUUCGGUUACUCCAGCGACGGUGGCCAGGCCGGGCCACCGCCGGUCAUCCGGCCACGGCUUGCCGGUGUGAAGGGCCCGGGGUUCGGCGGCCCCAAGGACGAGAGCAGUGAUGGAGAGGAUGACCUGGCAGAGGAGGACAAGGCCAGCCACCGAAGCAUGGGUUCCCCCGGUGGAGCGGAGAGCAAGCAUGAGCAGAGACAGAGCAGGCCAGGCAGAGAGACCCUUUUCUCAAAGGUAAGUGGUGGGCGUCAGACAGCCCCGAUAGGGUCACGUGCAGAAUGAUCACUGAACCGUUAUUUGGCUGACAUUUCACACGAGAUGGUGGGCGGUGCUCACUUUGAAUGGUUAUAGGUCAUGGAAUAUUAGACGCUUAGUAUUUGAAGCGCCACG
ensembl:lncRNA